GUUCCAGUCAUAUCAAAGAGGAAGAAGAGUAAAGUUUUUUAUUUUUUUUAGCCUAUCAAGGAACAGGAGAUUUGAAGAUCAUCUGUAAUCUCACUAUCUCUCUGCCUCAUUCAGUACAACGCAGACAGGUAUUAAAAAAUAAAUGACUGAGAGAGUCAUCUGAUCAGCCUACAGAGAAAAAUAUGGAGGAGGAAUUACACUGUGAUCUUGAGGAAAUAAUGGCUGAUUUGGAGGAGAUGCAGAGUGAGGAAGCGGUCAAAACACCACCUAAAAAACAAAAAAGAAAAAAGAUUGAUCUUAAACUUAGGUGGAAAAAAAGAGACCAAGAAGGAUUCUUGGUCUAUGAGAAGCGCAAACCAAAGAAAGACCGAUCUGGAAAACCAGUUGCCUCAACCAUUGUCUCUUCAAGUAACCCUCAAGAAGUUGAGCUCGAAACUGCAAGCACAUCUGAAGCCUCAACUUCCAAACAACAUUUUGGAGAUGUAGAUGCACAACAGAUUAUUGAUUUACAACUACAGCAACUCCAAAAUGCAAUGGAGUGUGAUGAACCCAGAUCAGCAGCAUCUCAUGAUUGGGCAUUGAGGCAAACCUUGUCUGAAGAAUACUGGGAGGAAGCAAGGCCAAAACUCCUUGACAGUUUGCUUGCUUCAGACUGUGUGCAUUAUGGUCCUUGUGAUCACUGCAGCUUGAAACAAGCAGUCAUCAGGUGCAAGGACUGUUUCCCGAAACCCCGUUACUGUGGCCAGUGUGACGUUUCUACACAUCAACAUCUUGUUUUUCACAACCGAGAGACUCUUAUAGAUGGAUUCUAUAAACCUCUCCCACCAUCAACUGCUGUGCAGGACCUCAGUGGCCAAAAUGUCAUAUAUGAACAAGUGUGUCUGCUGCCCAUUACACGACCAGACAAAAUUUGUGAUUGUGACCCUCAAAACCUGGCUGUUGUAGCUGGACGAUCUGUUGUGCUCAUCUGUAUAAAUGGUUCAGAGGGAGUCGAGGACUCGUAUCUCAGUGUAAUGUAAACGCAAUACAGCCAUCGGUUCUGGAUUCACAGGUGGACGUCACACAAGACCCAAGACCCACCCACUGUCUUUAUUCCACCUCCUCUCUCUAGGAAUUGGUGCACAUAGCUGUGUGGUUUUUCAAUACAGACAUGUGCGAAAUACAUAGAUUCGCAAAUAUACUGAAAUGUUUGCUUUCGCACCCUAAAGUUCCAGAACCCUAGCCUGACGUCAUCAUAUUGAGAUUCUAGUAAGAAUAUGAGUCUGAUAUUGCUCCAUUAGGCUCUGAUUAUGGGGCUUGUUUCAACCGAAAUGCCUCUGCACCCAAUAGAAUAGACCUACAAGCAAUCUUUUUUCUUUUUUUUUCUGGAAUGCGAGAUCCAAUCUGUUAUCCAGAUACAAAAGCCACUUGAUGUGGACAGGUGUAAACACACCGUGUCCUGAUUGGCAUAUUAUCCGAUCUGCUUGAGCAAAUCACGGUGAUCGCAUGUUAAUGCCAAGAGUAAACACAGCCAAAGUGUGUUUACUACUUAUUUAUUUUCUUUUGAAAUCUUUGCAGGUCGCUAUGACGUCUUCCUGCCAGUGAUGAAUUGCAGAGCUUGUCUUGCAUCAUGGACACCUGAGGUGGUUGACCUGUUGUUUAGUGGUUACUGGCCAGGCACUGUCGAGUUUCAAACCAUAUACAAGGUAGACCUCUUCACGUCGUUUGAGGACCUGAAGAUCACUGCACCUGGGCUUUCAAGACAAGCAUUUGUGAAAAUGUUACAACAGCGCUCACAACAAUUUGGAAGGGUAAGACUUGGAAAGUAAUUCGCAUUUAUGCAAGUCUUACUGGCAUGUCACUGUAUUCAAAUUUUUAUAAUUUCAGAGUGGUAACAUUUGUGGCAACGUCUUCCAAAAAGCUUUCCUUGAAUGGACAUAUUGUCGUCAUAAAAGAGAAAAACUCUGCGGCAUUGAUCACUUCUCUUGCCCAGCUUGCACCCCAGAUACAGUUGCUGUGUCUGCAGAUGGAAACAGAAAACUAUACAGAUUCAGCAAAACAAAGGGGUAUAUUAUAACAUUUACAUUUAAUAAUUUAGCAGACGCUUUCAUCCGAAGAACAAUAGAAGCAAUCAGACCAACAAGAGGGCAACAAUAUACACGUGAUGUAACAAGUCUCAGUUAGUCUAGCACAGUACACAUAGCAAUGUAUUAUUUUUUUUUUUUUUUUAUCUUCCUGUAGGACAGAGGAACAACCAUUUUUUGAUGGAGUUUUUCUGGCUAAUGACAAAGAUGUAGCAACAUUUGUUGAUUGUGUUCGUGAGAAGACCAUCCCAGUAAGAUAUUUGUCAAAAGAUUUGGGAUUGUACACGGUGAAUCAGGCUCUAGUUUGUGAAUAUAUUUGAUAUGACACUGUUACAGGUACAUGGAAAAGGCAUCUGUGGAACAUCAACAUGGGCUGCAGCCAGGGAGACCUCUAAAAAGACAAACACUAAAUGUGAUGAAGAGGGCCUAGAGGUGGCAGUUUGCAGGCACAGCAUAUUGCUUAGAGGGUUGAACAUGUUUAGGGGCGAGAUAUUUGCAUACCCUCUGUUUCUGAAGAAGGAACUGGCCACAAAAACAAACUGCAAGUUCUUCUGCACUGACAUCAUGUGUCGAUAUUGGCCCUAUCUUCAAAAGGUGGCUCAAGCAUUCCCAGAAAUGCAAAACCUGACUCAGAUGAAGCCAUUUCUCUCAGUUAUGCAUGCAAAGGGGCACUCUACAAAAUGUGAGGUAAAUGUAUAUUCUUGAACAAUAUGGUAACUAAGCCUUUAACCAUUUUGAUAUCCAUGAACUUGAUAUUUUUUAGUUUGGACAUUUGGUGUGCAUGCUGUAGGUGCAGUGGGGUGGCAAAAAUCAAACAGGGGCAGGCACAACAAUUGGUGAAGAAGUUGAACAAGUGAACAGCUUUUUGUCCCGUGUGGCUCUAACUACAAAAUACAUGAGUAAGGCUGGUGAGUGGUCCUUUUUUACAGUUCUCAUGUAUUGUUAAGACAGCUUUUCUUUUUUUCUUUUUUUUAUUCAACAUACUCCGUGACUAACCACUAAUUGAAAAGCACAUUUAUGCCUUCAUCAUUACAGCACGAGUAGAUAUGAUCACAUUGCAUGCCAGAGGAUGGAAUGAGCGCAAAAAAAGAAACCUGCACAAGUACUUGUCUACACGGUACUUGAAGGUAAGUAAAAAAAUAAAGAUUUCGUCAAUGAAGGUUAAAUUUCA
ensembl:lncRNA